rnacentral:rRNA from 1 species
CGAUACUUGGUGUGAAUUGCAGAAUUCAGUGAAUCAUCGAAUCUUUGAACGCACCUUGCGCUCCUUGGGUAUUCCGAGGAGCAUGCCUGUUUGAGUGUCAUGAAAUUCUCAACCUACAAGCCUUUUCGGAGGUCCUUGUACGGCUUGGACUUGGAGGGUCAUUGUCGGCAGUGAUGUCGGCUCCUCUUAAACGCAUUAGCUAGUUCUCGCGGAACGGCUUUCGGUGUGAUAAUUGUCUACGCCGUGGUCGUGCCGGGUACCUGGUCCAGCUUCUAAACCGUCACUCCUUGUGAGAGACACAUAUCUUGACAUCUGACCUCAAAUCAGGUAGGACUACCCGCUGAACUUAAGCAUAUCAAUAAGCGGAGGAA